rnacentral:rRNA from 1 species
UGUGUAGGCGGUUUGUUAAGUCACUUGUAAAAGAUCUCAGCUCAACUGAGUAAAGCGAGUGAAACUGGCAGACUUGAAUACGGUAGAGGUAAGUGGAAUUCCAUGUGUAGCGGUGGAAUGCGUAGAUAUAUGGAGGAACACCAAUGGCGAAGGCAACUUACUGGGCCGGAAUUGACGCUGAGACACGAAAGCGUGGGGAGCAAACAGGAUUAGAUACCCUGGUAGUCC